rnacentral:rRNA from 1 species
UACGUAGGGACCAAGCGUUGUUCGGAUUUACUGGGCGUAAAGGGCGCGUAGGCGGCUUAACAAGUCACUUGUGAAAUCUCCGGGCUUAACUCGGAACGGCCAAGUGAAACUGUCAAGCUAGAGUGCAGAAGGGGCAAUCGGAAUUCCUGGUGUAGCGGUGGAAUGCGCAGAUAUCAGGAGGAACACCGGUGGCGAAGGCGGGUCUCUGGGCAGUAACUGACGCUGAGGAGCGAAAGCGUGGGGAGCGAACAGG